rnacentral:rRNA from 1 species
GACGAACGCUAGCGGCAGGCCCAACACAUGCAAGUCGAGGGGUAGAGGCUUUCGGGCCUUGAGACCGGCGCACGGGUGCGUAACGCGUAUGCAAUCUGCCUUGUACUGGGGGAUAGCCCAGAGAAAUUUGGAUUAAUACCCCAUAGUAUUUUCGGUUGGCAUCAACUGAUUAUUAAAGUUUUUCGGUACAAGAUGAGCAUGCGUCCCAUUAGCUAGUUGGUAUGGUAACGGCAUACCAAGGCUACGAUGGGUAGGGGUCCUGAGAGGGAGAUCCCCCACACUGGUACUGAGACACGGACCAGACUCCUACGGGAGGCAGCAGUGAGGAAUAUUGGUCAAUGGUCGCAAGACUGAACCAGCCAUGCCGCGUGCAGGAUGAAGCAUCUAUGGUGUGUAAACUGCUUUUGUACGGGAAGAAACACUGCUACGUGUAGCAGCUUGACGGUACCGUAAGAAUAAGGAUCGGCUAACUCCGUGCCAGCCGCCGCCGUAACAC